rnacentral:lncRNA from 1 species
GAGCAUUUAACUUCGAUCAUUUUCCUUUAUAGCAUCCAUUAAAAGUUUCACACACGAGAAGGAGCACCUAGAUUGCAUAGCUCCCUUUACUUUGCCCCUAAUUUUGAAGAGGAGAAACAAAAAACAACAUUUGAUAAUUUCAGUGUGAUAUGGUAUCUUCAUUAAAGAAGUAUUAAAACUCUUUCUACGCAUUUCUAAUUGUGUACUUCGUAGAUUUAUUGUCAACUUACCUUUUUUUGUUGUUGUGCUUCUUCUUAGGAGUUUUUCUAGAUAACAAAGAAAAGUAAAUAAAAUGAACUCUACGAUUAUAAAAAAAGUAAAGAAUAAAUAACUAGUUCAGCACAAAUAAAGAUUCUAUUCAAAACAAACAAAUAAAGUGUGAUAGCAAGGUUCACAUGGCCAAAACCGUCACUCUUACCUUGGAAUACCUUGAAACAAUGUGUAUGUAUCUUCCAUAUAUAGUUUUUGUCUCAUUUCCCUAUAACAUAAUUAUGAGAUAAUCCUAUCCCAACAUGCUUUACCCCAACAACCAUAUCCUCAAGUCUUGGUUAUACAACAAUUUCCAUCACAUCCUUGUUCUAUCGAUCCUAAAAUACAAUAAUUAUAACUGUGUUGCUUAUCUUUCUAGCCCUCUGCCAUGUCUGUUUAGCUUCCUGUAGGCAUGCGGUAUUAACUUUUCUCCUUUGUAAAGUACCCAAAAAUUCCAUCAACUUUUUGUCAAGGAGCCUAUGUUUCAGCUACCUACAUGAAUUUGUCUCCCGUGGACUAGCUUAUUUACUGUCAUCCGUGCACGACCCGAGAACCCUUUCUUAUUUCGCACUACAUCAGGGCACUGAAAUAUAUUCCUGACAAAACUCUUUGUAUAAUUUAAAAGUUGAAGAAAAUCUAAACGGAAAAAGCAAGAAAACCAAGUUGAACAUUCUCGAUCUCUGACAAUGUGGCCUCCUACUUCUUUUCAUUAUCAAGAGGUUCCCUAGAUAUUAAAGAGAAAACAAAGAAAAAAUAUGAACUACGAUUAUAAAAAUUAAAGCAAAAAAAAACUAGCUCAGCACAUAUUAAGAUUCCAAUCAAAAAAACAAACAAAAAAAGUGGUGUUCAAUGAUGAUCUCUCACAUAUCAUGUGCACAUGAUACUCUUAUUAUGUGCGGCGGAAACGCUGGACAACGACUAUAUAUAAAUUAUAAGGUACAGCUAAAUGUUAUUGAGUGAAAACUCUCUUUUAAAUAUAUGUUAGUUGCAGCUAAAUCAUAAGCUAGAGAGAAAUAUAGGAAAACCUUCAUUUCAUCAUUCCUACUGCCAUAACCAUAUUCCCGUGCCAUUUAGCGAAAAUCGUCACUAUCUUUAUCUACAUGAAGAUCUCCCCCAAUAAAGAUAAGUUGGUCGCAGACACUUAAUUUUAGCUUCUGCAUCAAAUCCA